rnacentral:tRNA from 1 species
GCCGGUGUGGUGAAAUCGGUAGACACGAUAGACUCAAAAUCUAUUGCCCACAAAGCGUGCCGGUUCGAGUCCGGCCACCGGUACCA